UUAUAUUUUUUAAAUUUUGACGAGUCAUUGCUGUGUAUUUUGUGAAUAUAGUUAAAGAAACGUCUGAGGCUUGUUUGGUUUUGGUAUUAUUAGUAAAAUAUGAUGAUUUUGGGGGCUUUUUGCGGAAUUAUUUGACAGUUCACGAGUGAAAUUGAGGUGUGAAAUUGUCUGUCAGUGUUGUCGUGUUGGUACAGUAAGUGUUUGUUAUUAUUUUGGUUGUGUUUGUGGUGUAGUUGAAUGUCUAAUUUAGGUUUGUUGUACCUGUAGAAUUAUUUUUGUACUAAAAACAGCUUUAGCAUAUGAAAUACACUAACCUAUCAGGCUAUCACAGUACAUUGAGUACAAUAUUCAAAUAUGUGCUUGUAUAAAGCUGUAACUAGUGUUGUACUACCACACACGUAAAAAUCUCACAACUUGUCAACAAGAUGUGUUCGCAACAGGCUUGGCCAAAACUUGCCAACAAAGUUGUAACAAUGCUGUUAUUUUAUCAAGUUGUUACAAGGUUGUCACUCACAACUUGUUGACAAAUUGUUGAAUUGCAGGACGAUAACAAGUUGUUGGAACAAGUCUGUUGAGCUCAACAACCUUGUAGCAAGUUGUCAACAAACCGUUGACAACUUUUCAACAAUAUGGGAACAAGCAGUGCGAACACAUCCUGUUGGGAUAUGGACAAUCUAAGCAAUGUGAAAAGCGACUUUUCAAAGUUGUAACUAUAAUGCUUCCACUUGCAUUUUGCAAACUCUCUGAUUUGGUGGAGAUUUGGUCCCCAAAACUGGCCGAUAAACCGAGCAUGAGAAAGGCAAAUUCCGUAUACUGUCAUGUAUCGUAAUUAAUGAAUUAAUCUAUUUUUAACUAGAUAAUGACAUCAGUGUCACAAAAGACCGUUCAAAACUACGGCAUUGAAGUGAAUGAAAGAAUUCAGUGGCAGGGAUGGGAGCCUGGGGGAGAAUAUACAAAACAAAUAACAUUGAAAAAUGUCCAAGUCAAGACACAGAAAAUUAUUUACAA